UACGUAGGGACCGAGCGUUGUCCGGAUUCAUUGGGCGUAAAGAGCUCGUAGGCGGCCACUCAAGUCGAAUGUGAAACCUCGAGGCUUAACCUCGAGCCUGCAUUCGAUACUGGGCGGCUAGAGUCUGGUAGGGGGAUCUGGAAUUCCUGGUGUAGCGGUGGAAUGCGCAGAUAUCAGGAGGAACACCGGUGGCGAAGGCGGGAUCCUGGGCCAGUACUGACGCUGAGGAGCGAAAACGUGGGGAGCAAACAGG
rnacentral:rRNA from 1 species